rnacentral:rRNA from 1 species
GACGAACGCUGGCGGCGUGCUUAACACAUGCAAGUCGAACGGAAAGGCCCUGCUUUUGUGGGGUGCUCGAGUGGCGAACGGGUGAGUAACACGUGAGUAACCUGCCCUUGACUUUGGGAUAACUUCAGGAAACUGGGGCUAAUACCGGAUAGGAGCUCCUGCUGCAUGGUGGGGGUAGGAAAGUUUCGGCGGUUGUGGAUGGAAUCGCGGCUUAUCAGCUUGUUGGUGGGGUAGUGGCUUACCAAGGCUUUGACGGGUAGCCGGCCUGAGAGGGUGACCGGCCACAUUGGUACUGAGAUACGGCCCAGUCUCCUACGGGAGGCAGCAGUGGGGAAUAUUGCACAAUGGGCGGAAGCCUGAUGCAGCAACGCCGCGUGCGUGAUGACGGCCUUCGGGUGGUAAACCGCUUUCGCCUGUGACGAAGCGUGAGUGACGGUAAUGGGUAAAGAAGCACCGGCUAACUACGUG